rnacentral:lncRNA from 1 species
CUUAAACAUUCAGGAGAAGUUCCUUUCUGAAGAAAAAGAAGAUUGCGUGAAAAGGUAAGUCUUUCAAUUCCAAAUUUAAUCUUGCAGUUCAUGCAAAUACUGGGAAAAUUAUGCAGUUGGACCUUUGGCAGCUUUAAACUUUAUUCUUAACUUGGAUUUUGAUUUUAAAACACUGUUUUUUACGUUGGUUUCAAAAUUUUCUAAAAUGAUUUCUGGUCAUUGCAAAAACAGUUUAUUAGGGUUUAUGGUAUAUAUUUCCUGCCUAUGAAAACUUUGUUGGCUUGUUUGAAAAUGUCUCAUGUGCACUAGGAUUGAAUGUUAUGGAAGAAAAUAAAGUUAAAAAUUUGUUUAUUAAUAUUUGUCUGGUAAUGCUUGCUAUUAAAAUUCUCAAAAUAUCAAGUAGCUAAAAGUUCUAUAAUCUGAGAAUUAUAUUCUGUAUUUUAUAGGUUUGGAGCAUUAUCUCCCCCAUCUGAAAUCAUUUUACUUUCUUUUUCAAUAGACUGAUAGGGGUUCAUACCAAGCACCCAAGGUGCAAAGCUUUCACCCGAGCUCACUCCCCACUGACAUGAAUAGCAAACCUGGCCAAAGAAUCACUAUUUCGAUUGAAGCUCUGCCUUUUUUUGUUGCAUUUCCACCAGAAAGGAAAGGUGAGGGGGGAGCCUCUACUCCUCUGGCACCUACUGGUACGUCAGGAUCCAAUUGGUGUGUACGCAAUUUUUUUCGAGCUAAAAAGUCCCAUUACGUUAUAACUUUGUGAUGUCAUGAUAUUGGUCUUCUGUUCAUUUGUAGUUAAUCCAAAGUUGAGUAUCCAAUUUAAAACUUCUUGCAAAAAGCAUCUGCUUUCUUUUACAUUAAAUUUCAUGUGUUUUGUUCAUUUUUAGUAGAAUUUAUUCUAGUUAUGAUGCCUGCAGUGCGGAUUAAAGCUAAAUCAGACACCGGAAAAACAGAAAGAAAUUGCUAUUUGCAGCCAAAAUACAGUGAGCUUUGAGGUGGUGACUAUCUAUUUAUUGGUCUACCUAAAAAUCCAGAAUGGCCGUUGGCAAUCUUAAUUUAUCAAGUUUCCAAUAAAUUCAGACUUCAGUUGAUCAUUUCCAGGAAAUAUGUUGAAAUCAAUAUUAUUUUUACUUUUAGAGAAUUACUUGGCAUAUGAUGAAUAGCAGUUUUGCUACAAUUAGUCACUUUGAGAGUUU